UACGUAGGGUCCGAGCGUUGUCCGGAAUUACUGGGCGUAAAGAGCUCGUAGGUGGUUUGUCGCGUUGUUCGUGAAAACUCACAGCUCAACUGUGGGCUUGCGGUCGAUACGGGCAUCACUGGAGUUCGGCAGGGGAGACUGGAAUUCCUGGUGUAGCGGUGAAAUGCGCAGAUAUCAGGAGGAACACCGGUGGCGAAGGCAGGUCUCUGGGCUAUAACUGACGCUCAUGCACGAAAGCGUGGGGAGCAAACAGG
rnacentral:rRNA from 1 species